CAGCGAGAGAGAAAUGAAGUGUGACUCCUGCCCUGCCCGGCACAGCCCUGCUGGUGUCUGCACGGCCAGGCGUCCCCACCGCCUCCCUCCCUGCACCUCCAGCUGUUCCCCUUGGACUCCAGGAACAGCAGCUGCCCAUGAGGCAAGAUGGGGAGGAGGAGAGGAGGGGGUGGGGCCGGAGGCUGUUAGGGAAGAGGCCAGAGGAUCAGAGGCCCAUGGGGCCAGCUGACAGCGCGGAGGCGCGACUCCUCUUUCCCCAGGGCUACUGGGAAUCCCAAACGCACCUCCUUCCCCCCUUCUCUGCCUGGCCCCAGCCUGGACCUGGGCAGUAGCCAACUCUCUGGUCUCCCCCCUCCUGCCCAGGCCCCUGUUCCGGCCUCUACAUGGCAGCAGGGGCUCCUCAGCUCGGAACCUCUCCCUGGUCCUGCCCGACUCCCACGGGGCCAUGCCAGCGAGCUCCUCCUGCCCGGGCUCUCCCGGACCUUCUGGAACACAGCAGCCAGGCUGCCCCGUCUCAGCGGUGUCUGCCAGCAGCCCCCUCCCCAGUCAGCCCAACAGCUCCGGAAGUCAUUACUCAGAGCCCCCCGCUGUCCCCAUCACGGGCUGAAGGGUGCCCCUCAGAGGCUUGUCCCCCUCCCUCCCAAGCCCGCAGACAUGACCUCAUUUGGAAAAGUGCAUCUGAGGUUAAGGGUCCUGCGUGAGGUCCUGCUGAUCACCCGGGUGAGCCCUGCGUCCCAGGCCACGGAUCCCACACACCCAGAGCCCUGGACUCGGGUCACCCCUUCCCGUCCACCCUGGCCUGCAAACACCCCUCACCUGCAGACAGCGUCACAGUCCCCGUGACUUCUGCUGUCAUGGCUUACGGUCUGGAACCACCCAGGCCCGGAGGGCAGCCAUGUGCCUCUUUACCUUGACUUUGGACUCUAGCGCUGGCACUGACCUUCCUCAGCCCCAGGAGGACGCACCGACCUCCACGGUAUCUCUGCCUCCUUCCCCGGAGGCUUCCUCUCCCCAGGUUCUCCAGUGAAGGCCAAGGCUAGGAAGACAGGUAGACGUGGCCUUGGGGGCACCUGGGAGAGCCUGACCCUAUGUGGAGGCAGCAGGACUUCCGAGGACUUGGUGACAUUUGGCUGGGCAGUGGCCCUGCUGCACACCAGCCUUGAAAAGAAGGGAAAUUUCCAGACAUUCUGCCAAGGACAGAGGAGCUGUUCCCUGGAGCCAGGCCUCACCAGGCCGCAAGGUUGCCCAAAGCCACAGGAUGGGUCCCUAAGCAGGUGCCAUUGCAAGGACCUGAGCCACUGCCUUGGCUUUGGUGCACAUCUGACUCAGAGGGCGUGCUGCAGGGAGGCUGACUGGGUCCUGCCCAGGCGUCCACGAAAGGCCCUUGGCCAUGGCCCAGCUGGCAGGGUCUCCCACCUGGUGACAGGUGAGGGAGGCUGAGCAUUCUGGGCCUGGUGUGGGAUGUCCACCGGUGCCAGGGGUCCUGGGGGCCAUGUUCAGCAGUUCCCCAGCAGGUGGGUCUGGGUGGACCCCUGAGCCACUCACUCCUUUUCCAUGGCCCCCCACAGUGUUGUUGGCCAGACCUGGGCCUGCCGCCCCGUGAAGCUGACUAUGGAUAGGUGACCUCGCUGGCAUUAAUGACGUCGGGAGCUGUUGGUGCCGUGAGGGGUCGGGCAGGGCUCGAGGGGUGACACGGGAAUGGAGACCAGUGUGAAGGGAGGGCCCUGUGCGCAAAUCUCCUCACCCAACAGCCUGCUCCCCAGCACCCACUUCCUGCCAGCGUCCAGCUUGGCACCCGGGGGCAGAGAGGGUCCUGCCCAGACAGCGGGGACACUGCCACCCGCCCCCACGCAGGUCAGGCUCUUGCUGAGGGCGCGUCCACCUGUCUGCCCAGAACCUGGGAGCGGUAGCCCCUAGGGAGGGAGGCAGAGAUGCAGAGGUUGGUGCUCAGCCCACAGACCGCAGCUGGGGCCUACGGUGAGCAGGGCACGUUCUCACGGGCUGGGGGCCAGGACUCCGGGAGGGGAGACCACCCUCCUCCCAGGCCCUGGGGAUUCCUGGUGCCCCACGGCUGCGGCUGCUGUGCUCCAGUCCUGCCUGUCCUCAAGUGGCUCUGAACGCCUGUCACUGUGGUGACACCUGUGUGGCCUCAUCCUGACCUUCCCCUGCCCAGGCCUGCAUGGGCAAGGCCUGGUGCUCAGGUGCCUGGACCCCAGAUCCUGGCGCUGUGGGGGAGGGACUCCUGCCAAGUGCCCAUCCUCCACCAGGCGGCCCCAGUGGAAGAUCCCGUUGGCAAGGGAAGGUGGCAGCCAGCAGGGUGGGCGACCAGGGUGUGGGGAGCUCGCGUGCAGGGACUCUGGGCACAGAGACAGAGAUCCACGGAGGUCCUGGAGGAGGAGGCCUGGUGAGGCCUGCAGCCUCCAGGAGCUGGCAGAGGAGGGACCACCCUACUGCGCUGCAAAGAGUGCGCUCUCCCCUCGGAAGCCGCGGGUUUGGGUUAAUUUGUCACAGUAGCCACAGGAACUUGCCUCAGCUGCUUUUUCGUCCUGCCGUAAGUACCCGGGGAAGGAGCUUAAAAGGAGAAAGAUUCAUUUUGAGUUGGGAGUUUGAGAUCACGGCCUGCAACCCCGCUGCCUUGGGCCGGGGGGGAGCUCCUCAGGCUGCGCAGAGACAGCUGCUCAGGUGGGAAGCAGGGAGCGGGGACGGAGGGACCCGGGACGGCCCCCUUCCGGUGGGUCACCUGCAAACUGAGAUGCACGCCCAGGCCCUGCUCCCUGACCUCCCCAGUGACCCACUUCUUCUAACUGGCCCCACCUCCUACAGCCACCAGCUCCCAAUAAUGCCAGCCCAAUCAUCAAGGGCUAAGAGAGCCCAGGGCCGGCAGAGGGCACAGGCAGGCCCUCCGAUGGGCCACGGAGCUGCCCACGAGGGCAUGCAGGCUGGCAGCAGGACUCGCUAAGGUGGCAGAGUCCUGUGACCCAGUCACUGCCCAGGCCCCGCCUCGGGACACUGCUGCAUUGGGGACCAGGCUUCAGCCCAGGAGCCUGUGGGGGGUUUCAGAUGCCACCCUGACAGACUCACACACUUACCUGGGGCCCGUUCUCAGCUGGGGCCAUUUUGCACCCCUACCCCGCCGCCAGGAGACACCUGCCAAUGUCCAGAGACAGUUCUGAUGUCACAGCUGGGUAACGCUACUGGCAUCCAAUGGCAGAGACCAGAGAUGCUGCUCGACGUCCUAAAUGCACAGGACGGUCCUCAUGACAAGGAAGAUGGUUUGGGGUCUUGUUGUUUGGUGCUGGGGACUGAACCCAGGAGUGCUCUACCACUGAGCCACGUCCUCAGCCCUUUUUAUUUUUUACUUUGAGACAGGGUCUCGCUAAGCUGCUGAGACUGGCCUCCACUCUGCCAUCCUCCUGCCUCAACCACUGGAGUAGCUGGGAUCACAGGUGCGGCCACCAUGCCCAGCAUGAGGAGGAGGGUCUGGCUCCACGGUGCCGGGACACAUUAAGGAAUUACACUGGAGACCCCCCAUCAGGGCCCAGCGCCGGGUCCAGCCUUGAGUGGACAGGUCACGUGGGGUGAACAAUGAACCGAGAGCCCGUCACAACAGCAUGAUGCCACCACGGCCGCUGCCCUGCAGGCUGGCAGGCAGAGGCUGCUCCUACCAGGUGCUGGGUACCCACAGCUGGGACAAGAUGGCCUUUGGCCCUGGAGGAGGCACGAGAGCUGGGGUGCUGAGGACCAGCCCCUCACUCCGUCGCUGGGGUGUUACCAGAAGUCGGUCUACAGGUGACGGAGCCGAGCUAGAGAGCCCAGGGCGGGCAGAGGGCACAGCCAGGCCCUCCGACGGGCCACGGAGCUGCCCACGUG
rnacentral:lncRNA from 1 species